GUGGUGGUGGAGGAGAAGAUGGCUAGGAAGAAGACGUCCGUCCUGCCAACCUCUAAGCAUCCGGGGUGGGAUAAGCGAAUCCCCAACAGUUGCUGCUACUGAGACUUAGCCUCCCCCCCCUUUUGCCUGGCUUUUAAUGAGAAAGGGAAAGUGACGGGGGGGGGGUUUCGGUGAAGAGAAAGUGAAUGCGCCAGUUGCCACCGAAGGAGGCUCGCCUGCCCUCUUCUGCUUUGAUUUACUUCUUCUUCCCUCCCUUUUUAAUUAAGAUGCAGGGUGUUUUUUUUUGUUUUAAUUUUCAGGUCGAAGUCCACGAGUCGGUUCGUUCCAUGUGUUUGCAAGAGGCAUUUUCCUUCGUUUUAUUUGCCCCCCCCUCCACCCCCACGACGAGAAGGGACGCGGGGAAAAAAAAAAACCCUGGAGAAUCCAAAUGCAGAAAGAUUGGGGUCUUCCCCAGAGAAAGAGAGCACCCCAAGACCGGAGCAAAGAUUUAACUCUUCCCUCAACGCUGUCAAACUAUUUACUAAGUCUGCACUACUAUUAAUCUUCUCGUCGUUCCCACCACCCAUCUCCUCCCACUUAUGACUGUAUCACUGUAACUUUGUUGCUUGUAUCCUUACGAUUUCUAUUGAUAUUGUUUCCUGAUUGCUUAUUUGUAACCUCUAACGAUCAUUAAGUGUUGUAUCUUAUGAUUCUUGAUAAAUGUAUCUUUUCUUUUAUGUACACUGAGACCUUAUGCACCAAAGACUAAUUCCUUGUGUAUCCAAUCACACCUGGCCAAUAAAGAAUUCCUAUUCUAUUC